rnacentral:misc_RNA from 1 species
UAGAGCCCAAAUAGAUUUCAAAUGAGGUAAUUAGGUCAAGCAUAUCAUUGGCCAGGUCAAAAGCUUCUUGUGGAGGUGGUGAAGCUUCAGUAGCGUCUUUAAGUAUAAGAUUGAGUAACUUGGCUGCGUAGCUAAAAGAGCUCUUCAGACAGAUAAUACUGUCUUUCAAAUUAUCCUCCUUAAAUUGCUGUCCUUCAAAAUAUUGUUGUCCCAAGACAAAGAUGACGUGUUUUACAUAUGAUGAUGUAAAACUUAAGCACCUUCUGUUAAGGUGAGAAAGAAAGCCCAUUGCAGUGGAAUCAACAAUGAACUUGAGAACUGCAGUAAGCAUCUUCACCUUUUUU